AAAAAUGGAAGGUGGGGUGAAGGGGAAAGUUUGUGUAACAGGAGGCACUGGAUUUAUUGGGUCGUGGCUCGUCAAGCGACUUCUCGAGGAUGGUUACUCCGUCACAACCACCGUAAGACCCGACCCAGAGAAGAGAAGAGAUUAUAGCUUCUUAACAAAUCUACCAGGAGCAUCAAAGAAUCUCCAAAUAUAUAAUGCUGAUUUGAAGGAGGCAGAUAGUUUUGGUGCAGCCAUAGAAGGUUGUAUUGGAGUUUUUCAUGUUGCUACUCCUGUGGAUUUUGAGGACAAAGAAGAUGUGGAAGUGGUGAUAAAAAGAACAAUGGAUGGAACUUUGGGGAUCUUGAAAGCUUGCUUAAAUUCAAGAACAGUAAGAAGAGUUGUGUACACUUCAAGUGCAUCAGCCAUACAAUUUAAUAACAACAGCAAGAAAGUGGAGUUUUUGGAUGAAAGUUAUUGGAGUGAGAUUGAUUACAUUAAUAAUAUUGUAACAAUGGGAAGAUCAUACCCAAUUUCCAAGACAUUAACUGAACAAGCAGUUCUUGAAUUUUCAAAGCAAUAUGGAUUGGAAGUUGUCACUGUUGUUCCAACUUUUGUGGUUGGUCCUUUCAUUUGUCCCAAGCUUCCUGGCUCUGUUCGCACAACAUUGGCUUUGAUUUUAGGUAAUGAAGCUGAAUAUGGAGUAAUUUUAAGAACAAGCAUGGUGCAUGUAGAUGAUGUGGCAAGAGCACACAUU
rnacentral:misc_RNA from 1 species